GGCGGAGUGGAGGUUUGUCCUCUGUGGUGAGAGGGAUGGCGGCUUGGGAGAAACUGAAGUUGAGCUGCUGAAAGAUCCGCGUUCUUGGGCUGGGUGAGGAGGCGGGACGGGGAGCUGGCAAGGGCGGCGUGGACCUAUGUGAAUUUGGACUGCCUGAAUUCCACAGAGCCAACCUGAGAAUGUACUAAAAGCUCCAGGUACCAGUACGGAGUGGGGACCUUGGCUGAGUCCAAUGGCUACAAGCAAUUCUUUUCCUGCACUUUCUCCUAUGGUUGUGAUGAAAAAUACAUUAAUUAAAUAGGACUCAUCCAGACAUCCAGCUGGACUUCACGAGUCAAAAAAUCAAGUGCAGGAGCUGGUGCAAACUACUACGUGCAACCAACUUGUAACAGAAGAUGGACUUUGCAGCAAAGACUUCAGAUCUGUCAUCACAGCAGCAAAGCAAGAACAAACGCCUUCAGAAUAACUUGGUUGUGCUGCGCAAGUCUAUCUUGCUGGAGAUUCACCUUUUGGUUUUCCCCUUGAAAACCAAAGAGCUGAUGAAUCAGAGCCAGAUGAGAUUGAACUGGAUCACCUGAAGCAACAAACACAACUGUUCAUGGAGCACUUAAGGACAAGACUCCUCAGAUCUGGACUGGAUUCAAGGUGUCUCUAACACAGUCAGAUAAAGUAAAGAACAGCAUUGUGCCUUCUCUAUCUUAUUCAGAUAUCUAGUGUAAAUGUUACUUGAAGUGUCCAUAGUACACAUAAUACUAAAAGCUGCUACAUGA